rnacentral:rRNA from 1 species
GAUGAACGCUGGCGGCGUGCCUAAUACAUGCAAGUCGAGCGAACGGACGAGAAGCUUGCUUCUCUGAUGUUAGCGGCGGACGGGUGAGUAACACGUGGAUAACCUACCUAUAAGACUGGGAUAACUUCGGGAAACCGGAGCUAAUACCGGAUAAUAUUUUGAACCGCAUGGUUCAAAAGUGAAAGACGGUCUUGCUGUCACUUAUAGAUGGAUCCGCGCUGCAUUAGCUAGUUGGUAAGGUAACGGCUUACCAAGGCAACGAUGCAUAGCCGACCUGAGAGGGUGAUCGGCCACACUGGAACUGAGACACGGUCCAGACUCCUACGGGAGGCAGCAGUAGGGAAUCUUCCGCAAUGGGCGAAAGCCUGACGGAGCAACGCCGCGUGAGUGAUGAAGGUCUUCGGAUCGUAAAACUCUGUUAUUAGGGAAGAACAUAUGUGUAAGUAACUGUGCACAUCUUGACGGUUCCUAAUCAGAAAGCCGCGGCUAACUACGUG